ACUCAAAUGAAUUGACGGGUCCCCGCACAAGCAGCGGAGCGAGUGGUUUAAUUCGUUGCUACGCGAAGAACCUUACCUGGGUUUGACAUAGCAGUGGUAGGGAAGUGAAAACGGACCGACCCUUCGGGGAGCUGUUACAGGUGUUGCAUGGCUGUCGUCAGCUCGUGUCGUGAGAUGUUCGGUUAAGUCCGCUAACGAGCGCAACCCUCGUGGUGUGUUACAUGUGUCACACAAUACCGCCGGUAUUAAGUCGGAGGAAGGUGGGGAUGACGUCAAGUCAGCAUGACCUUUAUAUCCAGGGCUACACACUCGCUACAAUGGCCUGUACAACAGGUUGCCAAGCCGUGAGGCGGAGCCAAUCCUAUAAAGCAGGUCUCAGUUCAGAUUGCAGGCUGCAACUCGCCUACAUGAAGUCGGAGUUGCUAGUAAACGCAGGUCAGCACUACUGCGUUGAAUACGUUCCCGGGGAUUGUACACACCGCCCGU
rnacentral:rRNA from 1 species